rnacentral:misc_RNA from 1 species
GAUGAAGAACGUAGCGAAAUGCGAUAAGUAAUGUGAAUUGCAGAAUUCAGUGAAUCAUCGAAUCUUUGAACGCACAUUGCGCCCGCCAGCAUUCUGGCGGGCAUGCCUGUUCGAGCGUCAUUUCAACCCUCGAGCCCCCCCGGGGGCAUCGGUGUUGGGGGACGGCACACCAGCCGCCCCCGAAAUGCAGUGGCGACCCCGCCGCAGCCUCCCCUGCGUAGUAGCACACACCUCGCACCGGAGCGCGGAGGCGGUCACGCCGUAAAACGCCCAACUUUCUUAGAGUUGACCUCGGAUCAGGUAGGAAUACCCGCUGAACUUAAGCAUAUCAAUAAGCGGAGGA